GCCAGGCACAGUGGCACAUGCCUGUAGUCCCAGCUAUUCGGGAGGCUGAGGCUGGAGGAUCUCUUGAGUCCAGCAGUUCUGGGCUGUAGUGCGCUAUGCCGAUCAGGUGUCUGCACUAAGUUUGGCAUCAAUAUGGUAACCUCCCAGGAGCGGGGGACCACCAGGUUGCCUAAGGAGUGGUGAACCAGCCCAGGUUGGAAACGGAGCAGGCCAAAACUCCCAUGCUGAUCAGUAGUGGGAUUGUGCCUGUGAAUAGCCACUGCACUCCAGCCUGGGCAACAUAGCAAGACCCCGUCUCU
rnacentral:SRP_RNA from 1 species